UGGGGAAUUUUCCGCAAUGGGCGAAAGCCUGACGGAGCAAUACCGCGUGAGGGAAGAAUGCCUAUGGGUUGUAAACCUCUUUUUUCAGGGAGGAAUAAAAUGACGUGUACCUGAAGAAUAAGCAUCGGCUAACUCCGUGCCAGCAGCCGCGGUAAGACGGAGGAUGCAAGUGUUAUCCGGAAUCACUGGGCGUAAAGCGUCUGUAGGUGGUUUAAUAAGUCAACUGUUAAAUCUUGAUGGCUCAACUUCAAAAUCGCAGUCGAAACUAUUAGACUAGAGUAUAGUAGAGGUAAAGGGAAUUUCCAGUGGAGCGGUGAAAUGCGUAGAUAUUGGAAAGAACACCGAUGGCGAAAGCACUUUACUGGGCCAUGACUGACACUGAGAGAUGAAAGUUAGGGGA
rnacentral:rRNA from 1 species